GGGGCUGUGGCGCAGUGGUAGCGCGUUCGCUUUGCAUGAUUCAUGAGAACUUGCGAAAGGUCUAGGGUUCGAUCCCCUACUGCUCCA